GCUUGCUCUUCAUAGGAAGUGUGUCAUCUUUGUGGGUAGCUGGAAAAAGUACAUAAGUGUUUUGUUUCUGUUUAACUGAGCGCUCGUAGCAAGUGAUAUAUCCUGCUCUUGACUGCCAACUCGUCUGCUAGGACUGCCUCACAGAGCUGUUUAUAUUGGUCCCUGCUUAUAGAUCACCAGUGGCAACAAUACCCGACAGACGAAGAAUUUAAAACUAGAAUUAGUGUGUUGAAGUUCUGCAAUCUUUUCUGACAGUUAAUUUUCUGACACAACCAAACUGCACUUUUCACCUUUUGUGGCAUACACCGAUUGCUCCAGCUUUGUAACAGCUUCUGUUAAAGUCACUGGUCCAAGAUGGCAAGUUGUACAUGCUUCUUGUGGGGCAUCUUCUGGCUGAUUAUACUUUGGUUUAUAGCUUGGCCUCUCAGUAUAUUCUUCGGUUGCCUUUAUGGAUUCAUUUCUCCACUCACCACUUGUGUAGGACUUGACCAAGUUACCGAUCUGUUAAUGAAAGGUGUAAACCUUGGAAGAAUGUGUGCUCAAAAUAUGAUAGACGGGAAGUCACUUUGCUGAAGAGGAAUUCACUAUCAUUUAUUAUCAUACUUGGCAAUUUAAAAUUGCAUUAAUAUAGUGACCUUAUUAAAUUAGCUUUUAAUAAUCAGGCAAUUUAAACAUAACUACUGUUUCAUUUGCUGUUACUGAUUUGUAUUUAAUAGAUAAUCUAUUAAGUUCAUCAAAAGCAAACAUUCCAAAUCAAGCUGCACAAUUCAUCUUUCUAAAACAUAACUUGCAGCUUUUUGCUUUGUAUUUCUAGAUUUCCCCAAAAGUGUGUGUCUGACCCUUUUGUGUGCCAUUAUUGUAAUAGCCUCUUUAAUAAAAUGCAGAACUGCGCAAUGUA